UGUGUGUGUGUGGGGGGGGGGGUGUUUAACUCAAGGAUGACCCCGUGGCUCGUCAGUUCCACAGUAUUUUGCGAAUCCAAACCUUUCUUGGGUGUGUGCGCGCGCGUGUAUGUGUGCGUGUAUGUAAGCGUGAGUCUAUGCGUGAGAGAGAGAGAGAGAGAGAGAGAGAGAGAGAGAGAGACGAGCCAAGGGGUCCUUAUCCUUGAGGUAAACACCUCCCCGCCACACACGCACACACACACACACAAAACGUUACUUUUCAAAGCCCCGUGAUGUGCAAAUUCCGAUCGCGCAACUUUCCUGUGGUGCACAUUGGAUAUCGCAAUUCCUGAAACUGAUACAGCCCAAUGACUUUUUCUACGUGGUAAAAUCGAAUAUCAAAAUUCCCUAAUGGGGAAGCUUCGUUCGCGUAACUACUCAGAUUUGCUUGUGUUAAUGUGAGUCUGGAGUAGUAAAAAUUCGUGGGAAGUCAGG